rnacentral:rRNA from 1 species
CCCUUAGAUGUCCUGGGCCGCACGCGCGCUACACUGAUGCAUGCAACGAGUUUAUAACCUUGGCCUGAAAGGUCUGGGUAAUCUUUUGAACGUGCAUCGUGAUAGGGAUAGAUUAUUGCAGUUGUUAAUCUUGAACGAGGAAUUCCUAGUAAACGCGAGUCAUCAGCUCGCAUUGAUUACGUCCCUGCCCUUUGUACACACCGCCCGUCGCACCUACCGAUUGAAUGGUUCGGUGAAGAUCUCGGACUUCGAUAUUUAUUCUUUAUUGAGUUUAUAUUGUGGGAAGUUAUCUAAACCUCAUCAUUUAGAGGAAGGUGAAGUCGUAACA